UUCACAUUACAUUUUAUAGUUAUUGUGUAAGGCGGUUUACAUUACAGCUCAAGGAUAUCAUAUAAGAAGUACAUGUAAAAGUUAUACAAAGUGUACACAUGGAUAUCAUAUAAGGUGGGUACUUUUACAAUACAUGUACAUCGUUUUUAAGCUAUUGAUAUCAAUGACAUGUACACCACCAUUGUUAUUGCUCUCAUACUAUCUCAACAAACUUUGUAAGCUUAUCUCCUGCAAAAAAGAAAUAAACUUUACAUAAGAAGCAGAUUCACAGGUUGAACAUCAAUAUCCCAAAGAUGUUUUUGCGACUUCGCGGCGGACAGACGUCCUCGAUCUUCUUAACAUAAUAAGAUCCAAAAAUCAGGACGUUCAGAAUCAUCACUUGAUUUGUAUCAAACACGAUCCAAAACUAUUUCUUGUUAUAGAGCAUGUGUAUCUUUCUCCUGGCUUUAUCAAUAAUCUUCAAAAAUAAUCACAAUAUGCCUAGCUAAAAUUCCAGUCUUGUGGAUCAAAAAAAUUAUUUCCGAAGAGAAGGAUAUAAGUAAGAAAGUUUACCACAUACGAUGAUUGUGGAUUCUCGAUUUGAUCCUCUGGAGGCCCAACUUCACAGGUUUCUUCUCGAUUUGAUCUUCUAGGGUCUGGUGUUGUUCUCGACGGUUAGGGAUUCAGCUAUAGCAGCAGUUUCUGAUGCGGAGGAUUUGGAAGACGCAGAUGAGCCCCAAAUGAUUUUCCACCGCUACAAGCUUCUACAGCGGCUUUCCGCUGGGCCUAUAUCUCGUGCUCACGCCAUUCUUCAUCUUGAAGCUUAGGAAUUUUCUUCUGCUUGAUGUCGGAUCAAGCAAAGAAGUUCUUGCCAUCAGAUUCACCAGCUUUUGAAAAUUUUAAUGAAAUGGUAAAAGCUGAAUCAGGAGAGAUGGUGAAAAUUCAAUAUGAUUUGGAAAUUGAAAAGAGGAGAGAGGAAUGCUAGCCGUUGAAUU
rnacentral:lncRNA from 1 species